AUAAUAUGUUGUAAAUUAAUGGUGAACAGUUGAAGAAGAAGAAGAAGAUCUAGAAUGUCAAAGUAUACAUGUUGCCGCAAAGUGGAAAAUCAACCUUCCCAUUCAAACAACGCCUUCGACCCGUCCCCUUUCAUUCAAACAAUGACCUAUAUAUCUAUGUCCUGGCUUGGUCUAUUAUCCUUACCAUCACAGCAAGUUUGCUAGCAAGAAUUUGUUAUACAAGAAAUGUCAGGGGGUUCUAUGAGGUCUGCUCUGGUGACUCUGUUCAUCUUCGCAAUGGUUCUGUCUCCGAUUACAACAUCCGAGGCUGCACGGUUCACGUUUCUAGAUACAACUCCCAUAUGUCCUGCUUGUGUUUGCUGCGCACCUGCACCACGGGGCUCUUGCUGCGAUUGUUGUGCUACACCGAUUGAAACUCAGUCCGAGCAAGGGUCUCCAUGAGACGGCAAAUUUGCAUAAAUUAUGAAUAAGAGUAGUAUAUGUGUAUAUAUGGGGUUCAUGUGGUGUUGAAGCAAAAAUAAUCACCAUUUGUAUGUAGAAAGUUGAGACAUGGGUUUAUAGCUCCUUGGGAGACUAUGUUCUAUCAAGGUUUUGAUGUUUAUAGUGAUCCCAUGAGAUUAUUAAUUGUAUUCUCUUUAGGUUUAAAGUAUUGACAAACAAAAUUUGAACUUGAGACCUCCUUCAAUCUUAUAAAGAGAAAUAUCACUAUAUUGUUGUAAAUAA